rnacentral:lncRNA from 1 species
GAGCUGGCAACCUGAGGUGAGCGGGCCUUGGUCCCCGUUGUUAAAAGGGUGCAAUACAAAGAGUGGGUGGGAAACGGGAAGAAAGAGCAAACGCACCGGGAUUCAACCGCCCCGACAUCCUCCUCUCAGCUCUUUCCACAGCUGUCAACUUCACCUUUGCCCACUUCCAGUCGCCCGCCCCAAGGGACAUCAUCCAGACCACAGCCUAGGAGCGGAGUCUCUUUGGAAUCUGCCCCUUCCCAUAGUCACACUGCUGCACGGAAAAACAAAGGCUGUUUUUCUUGAAAACACAUUGCUAUAAUUUUUAAAUUUCCUUAUUGAUUUUAGUAAGUUUGCUUAAAGCAGGACGUGACUAUCAUUUCAUUUUUAAAAAUGACAGCUUUAUAUGCGCCAUAGUUCAUAUAUCAUAAACUUUACUUUUUAAAAGUGUACUAUUCAUUGGUUUUUAGUAUAUCCAGAGUCGGGCAAUCAACACCACUAACUAGUUUUAGAACAUUUUCAUUACUCCUUCCUAACACCUACCUAGAAGUACUCUCCAUUUCUCCUCAACUCUCCUACUUUAGGGAUCAUAAACCUGUUUCUUAACAAUUCUGGACAUUCCAUAUGACUGCAGUCAUUCAGUGUUGACCUAUUUGGGACCAGCUUCUUUCACUUAGCAUGUUUCUGAGUUUUAUCAAUGUUGUAAUAUGUAUUAGCCACAUUCCUUGUUGUGGGCUGAAUAGUAAUACAUUGUAUAGAUAUAUCACAUUUUAUUUAUCCAUGCAUCAGUUGAUGGGCUUUUUUUUCUGGAAAUUAUGGAGAUUAUGAACAAUGCUGCUAUGAACUUUUGUGUAGGAUUUUUUGUGGGACAUGUUUUCAUUUCUACUUGGGUAUAUAUCUAGGAGUGCAAUUACUGGAUCAUAUGGUAAGUUUAUGUUGAAUGUUUUGAGAAACAGAAUGUUUUCCAAAGUGGCCACACUACUUUGUUGGUCCAUUCUUUUUUUAAAAGUUAUGAUCACUCAUAGGAGAAAUGAAACACUAUGUGGUGUCUUAGGCAUUGCUGGGGUCUGAAUAUUUGCAUCUCCUUAAAUUCCAUAUAUUGAAACCUAAUCAUCAAUUGGAUAGGAGGUGGCACCCUUAGGAGGUGAUUGGAUCAUGAGAGCAGACACAGCUAGAAGUCACCAUUUAUGAUCCAGAAAGCAUGCUCUUAUUGGAUAGCAACCCUGCUGGUGCCUUGAUCUUGAACUUUCUAGUCUCAACAACUGUGAGAAUUAAAUUUAUGCUGUUUAUAAACCAUACAGCCUAGGGUAUUGUGCUAUAGCAGCCAGAAUGGACUAAAACAGGUAUUGUGCUAGGAGCUCGGGACAUAUUGUUGAGAAAAACAGUGGUUCCCUACCUUCAUGAAGCUUACAGUCCAGCAGCAGAGAGAUGUUCAACAUGUGAAAUAUGUUAUUAACCAAAUGGGACCAAAAUGAUAAUAAUAAAAUGAUUAAAAGGAAGUUAUAUAAAAUGAAUACCAGUGGAGGCAUGAUGAAGUUAAAUUAAUAGGAAGAAAAUGCAUAACUCAGGUUUCUCACAGUCUGGGCAAAACUUUAAAAUUGCUUUAUUUUUGUCCCUGCCAGCCUGGACCAGGUUUAUACACCUAGGCAGUGGUGACUCCUUUGAGAAUCUGAAGAAAACCUCAUCCUUGAAAAAUUUCUCAAUCUUUAGCAAUGUGGGGACCCCUCUGAAAUUCAACUCUGGGUUCUAUGGAGGAAAGAAGUCCAGCCUAAGUUCCUCUAGUUGAAGGGUUUAAGUUCUUCCCUAUGAGUCUCUGCCUGGGCAGUUGGGCGGUGUGGUGCGUAGGUUGUCUAUCAGAAUCACUCUGCCUGCCUGUCAACAAAGCAGACCUAUUAUCCAACUUUCUGGGUGUGUAUCCUUGGAAUAAGCAUGGCUUCCUGAGGCUUCUGUAAUAAAUUACCAGAAAUAAUGUGGUUUCAAGAAACGGAAAUGGAUUCUUUCCCAGAAUGGAGGCCAGAAAUGGGAAAUCAGUUUCAUUGUCCUAAAGUCAAGAUGUAGGCAGAGCUGCACUCCCUCUAGGGGGACGGGGGAGAAUCUCUUCCUUUCUUCUUUUCUGCAGCUUCUGGUGACUGCCUGGCCUCGACUGCAUCCCCCUGAUCCUUCUCUGCCUUUGUGGUCACAUUGCCUUCUCCUUUGUGUCUGUCAAAUCUCACUCUGUCGUGAUACUUGUAAUUGCAUUUAUGUCUACUCAAGUAAUCCACAGUAAUCUCUCCAUCUGGAGUUCCCUAACUUGAUCACAAUUGCAAAGAUCCUUUUGCCAGCUUUAUAUGCACCACAGUUCAUAUACCAUAAACUUUACUUUUUAAAAGUGUACUAUUCAUUGGUUUUUAGUAUAUGCUCCCUUUACAGGUUGUAGGGAUUAGGAUCUGAGCCUCCUACUCUGUUUCUCCACUGUGUUUCCUGGGAGUCUGGUGGGAAACACUGGUAUAUGGAGAUGGCCGUCAGAGGGAAGCUGCUUAUAGUCAUUGGCCCUGGUGGCUCACAGAAAAACUUAUGGGAAGAGUGUGGGCUGUUGGGGCCUGCACAAGGUAGACUGCAAUACCGCACCCCCCGCCCCGCCUCCUUGCAGCUGUGACUUAGGGCAGAGCAUUGGACCUCUCUACACUUGUGUGUGUUCCUACCUAGAAAAGGAAGGUGAUGGGACCCACCUUAGUGUUGCAGUGAUUCUUAGAAAUCCUGUAGGUCAAGAAAGGCACAUGUCAAUAGCAAAAGUUACAACUGUCAUUCUCUUGCCUAGGAGGAGCCUCAGGUCCACAAAAAACAAAAGUAAAUAAGAAAGAAAAAGUCCAAAGAGUGUGAACGUGUGAAGAGGAACCUCAGCCAAUGAUGGGGAGACACAUGGCUCAGCUCUUGCUUCUCUUUCCUACCUGCCCCCUGGGAGGUCUCCUGGGUCUUCUGGCUAUACAUACUCGGCCUGUGCCUCCCAAAUGCAUUUCUCCAGUCAGACCUCUUUCCCCAGUUUUUUUUUUUUUUUAAUUAAGGUACAUAUAUAGGAAAAUGAUUACUAUAGAGAAACACAGUCGUCUCACAGUUACCUACUCUCCCCAUCCCACCCCCAAUAAGAGCAGCUAUAAUCCACUCUUUUAGUCAAAGUCCUAAAUACAUUAGGUCUCCCCCUUGUUCAUCCCACAUAUUCGCUACUUUGUAGUGUCUGAUUUACAUCUUUCCAUUUCCUUCUCUACACCUCAACUCUGGUGACCACUGUUUUAUUCUUAAUAUUUUGAACUCAUUUUUAAACACAAUUCAUGUAUUAGAGCAUGCAAUGUUUUUCUUUCUGUGGCUGGCUUAUUUCCACUUGGUACAACAUCCUCUAAGUCCAUCCAUGUUGUGGCAAACGGCAGAACCUCCUCCUUUUAAAAGGCUGAAUACUAUUCCAUUGUGUAUGCAGUGCACAUGCUCCACAGUUUCUUUAGCCAUUCGUCCACUGCUGGGCACUUAGGUUGUCUCCACAUCUUAGCGAUUGUGAAUACUGUUGCAGUGAACAUGGGAGGGGAGAGGACUUCAUGAGUGGUUCCAUUUCCUUUGGGUGUAUGUCCAGAAGAGGGAUUGCUGGACAAAAUGGUAGUUCUAGUUUUAAUUUAGGAAUUUCCAUAAUGGCUGUGCCAGUUCAUUCGACAGCAUAUAGUCAGUUCUUGUUUUUUCACAUUUAUGCUAAAACUUGUUAUCCCAGGGCUGGGAAUGCGGCUCAGUGGUUAAGUACCCCUGGGUUAAAUUCCCAGUACCAAAAAUCAAACCAAACCAAAACAGCUUUUUUUUUUUUUUUUAAAUAAAACACCCCUACUCCCAGAGUCUGGCUAAAUGACCCACACUGGCCUCCAAUCCAACUCACGGACUUCUUGCUUCAGCAUCCCAAGUAGCUGGAAUUACAGGUAUGUGCUACCAUACACAGCUUUAAUCUCUUGUGUUUUUGAUAAUAGCUGUCCUAACAGGUGGGAGGUGGUAUUUCAUAGGAGUUUUGAUUUGCAUUUCUCUAAUUCUUAGUAAUUUUGAGCACCUUUUCAUGUACAUUUGUCCCCCCCCCCCUUUUUUUUGGUGCUGGGAAUUGAACCCAGGGCCUUGUGCAUUCGAGACAAGCACUCUACGGACUGAGCUAUAUCAGCCCCACAUUUGGCCAUUUUUAUGUCCUCUUUGGAGAGAAAAAUCUAUUCAAACCCUUUGCCCAUUUAUUUUUAGUAAGGCUGUGUGUGUGUGUGUGUGUGUAUGUGUAUACACACAUAUUUUUUUUUUUACUGUUGAGUCAUGUGAGUUUUUGUAUAUCUUGAAUAUUAACCACAAUCUGAUAGUCAUGUGUUACUUAAUGAUGGGGACAUGUUCUGAGAGCUGCAUCAUUAAGUGAUUUCAGCAUUGUGUGAACAUCACAAUGAAUUUACAUGAACUAGAUAGUACAGCCUACUACACUUGGUCUACAUGGUAUGAGUAUUGCAAAAAAAAUUUCCCUAAACUCUAGUUAUCUUUUCAUUUUGUUGAUUGUUUCCUUUGCUAUGCAGAAGAUUUUUAAUUUGAUGUAGUCCUAUUUAUUUAAUUUUGCUUUUGUUGCUUAAGCUUUUGGUGUGAUAUCCAAGAAAUCACUGUCAAGGCUAAUGUCAAGUGCCACAGUCUGGCUGGGCACAAAUGCCGCAGUCUGGCUGGGCACACAAUCACGAGCCACCACACAGCUUGUAGAUUCAAACAGCAACUCUUUAUUCCCGAACUCACACCAGCCGUCUACAAUCACGUUCUGGGGAAAUCCACGUUCUCUGCCCAAAUCCACCUCCACUGGGCUUCUAUCUCCAAAAUAUACUGUCUGAAUCCCGUGAGAACUCAAGGGGAACUCAGGCAGCAGGAUACGCCCUAUUCCCAGCAGGAAUAAUCUUAAACCUUAAACCUGGAACCUAAACUGGGAACGCCCUAAACAAGAUUAUCUUAAAACCGGGAACACCCUAAUCUGCCUUGGUCCUUGAGCAAGGUCACUUACAUUCAAUGUCACUGCAACAUGUCAGCAACAUGGGGUACGCUGGCAAGGAAAUUGUCAUACCUACUUGGCUAAUGGCUCCCAGCAGUCAAGUAGCUUUUCCUCUGUGUUUUCUUCUAGGACCUUUAUGUUUUCAGAUUUUAUGUCUUUUCUCCAUAUUGAUUUUUGUGUAUGGGAUAAGAGGAAGGUUCAAUUUCAUUCUUUUGACUAUGGAAAUCCUGUUUCUUUUUAGCACUAUUAUUUGAUCCUUUCUCCACUACGGCUUUUGGUGCCUUUGCUGAAAAUUAGUUGACCAUAUAUGUUUGGAUUUAUUCUGAGCUUUCUAUUUCAUUGGUCUCUGUGUCUGUGUGUGCAUGCACAUGCCGUGUUUGUGAUACUUGGGAUUGAACCCAGGGCCUCAUGCAAACUAGCCAAGUGCUCUACUGCUGCACUACAUCCUCCACCCUUACAAAUUUUAUUUUGAGCCAGGGUCUUGCUAAUCUUCCCAGGUUCAAACUGGCUAUCCUCCUGCCUCAUUCUCCCAAGUAGCUGGGAUUAUAGGCAUGCACCACUGCACCCCAUUUAUGUGUCUCUUUUUAUGCCAGCACCAUACUAUUUUAGAUACUGUCGUUUUGUGGUAUAAUUUAAAUAAUUUAAAAUCAGCAAAUGCGCUCUCUCAGCCUUACCACCAUCUUCUUGGAAACUUCUGUGCCAUGAGAGCCAAGCAGCAAAUGCACAGGCUGAAGUGCAAAAGAAGAAAGAUGAGGCAGAAGGUCCAAGUAAACCAACCUGUGCACCGUGGAGGCCAAGGGAGCAGAAAUAAGGAAAGCUGGAGACUGGGGACAUGGGUACAACUUGUUGGACUGCCUACUACUGUCCAGAAUUUGUGUUGGAGGAUCUAGAGCUUCUAUGGCCAUCCCAUCAUCAACACCAUCCCAUCAUCAACACCACCUCUGAGAGAAGACCCACCUUGCUCAUAACAGCACCUGUUGGUCCUUUGCCCGGGACCUUUGGCAUCCUGGACUAGUUUGUUUCUCAGUUGCAGCUGAGUGUGCUGUUUUAACUGAAGAAUAAAAAAUAACUAUAUAAAAUCAGCAAAUGUGGGCUGGGGCUGGGGCUGGG